AAGCCUUGUGCAUGAGGUGAAGGUCCAAAACCUUCCGAGAGAAAAAGAAAGAAAAGAAAGAAAAUUGGGCGCAGGGUUUUCAGUGUGUUUCCUAGGGUUUCAGUCUGGAGUUCAGGAAGUGAGUUAGUGAGCUACGAGUGUCAUGAGCCCACCAAAUUCAAGAGAGAGAAUCAUCUACCUCUCAAGUAUAUUUGCUGAUGAUUCAAAGUAUCUGUUGAAUCGACAAACAUCGAUCGAAGGAGUUCGAUCAGCAUCAGCCGUCGAAAGGGCUCUAUAACGAGCUAGCACUCAUGAGGAGCUGA
rnacentral:lncRNA from 1 species